UACGGGGGGGGCAAGCGUUGUUCGGAAUUACUGGGCGUAAAGGGCUCGUAGGCGGCCAACUAAGUCAGACGUGAAAUCCCUCGGCUUAACCGGGGAACUGCAUCUGAUACUGGAUGGCUUGAGUUCGGGAGAGGGAUGCGGAAUUCCAGGUGUAGCGGUGAAAUGCGUAGAUAUCUGGAGGAAUACCGGUGGCGAAGGCGGCAUCCUGGACCGACAUUGACGCUGAGGAGCGAAAGCCAGGGGAGCAAACGGG
rnacentral:rRNA from 1 species